rnacentral:rRNA from 1 species
UACGUAGGGUGCAAGCGUUGUCCGGAAUUAUUGGGCGUAAAGAGCUCGUAGGCGGUCUGUCGCGUCUGCUGUGAAAACUCAGGGCUUAACCCUGAGCUUGCAGUGGGUACGGGCAGACUAGAGUGCGGUAGGGGAGACUGGAAUCCCUGGUGUAGCGGUGAAAUGCGCAGAUAUCAGGAGGAACACCGGUGGCGAAGGCGGGUCUCUGGGCCGUAACUGACGCUGAGGAGCGAAAGCGUGGGGAGCGAACAGG